CUGUGGGUCGUGCAUUCCCAUUGGGCACUUUGCUGACUUUUAAGAUAAACAUCAUCUUCAGAGCAAUCUACCAGCUGUCCAUCUCACCGUGUCCAUGUGCCCAGAUCAAUCGUCUGAAGACUCCAGGUUGGUGGAGACAUCCCCGUGGCGCCUGGGACGUGUCUGAAGUCUGUCUUUCCAGCGCGAAAUUUGCAUACCUCCGAACCUUUAUGCUUCCUUCUUCCUCAGAACAGGGAACAAAACUCGGACUUAAAUGUGGACCCAGGAUUUCAGUGAAUGCUAGUCGGCACCUGUAGGCUGCUGGGAAUCUCUUCAGUAGCCUGGAGUCAUGGCUCUACCCCAAGGAGGCCCCUUCUCAGGGAGCAGACCUCCCUGAGAGGCACU